rnacentral:rRNA from 11 species
GGGAAGGUUUUAAAUACUCUAGCGGCACCACAUCCCUUCUGAUCUUGAAGGCUAAGUAGCGUCAGCUUUGGAUAACUACUUAGAUGGGAGACUGCAAAGGAAUCCUAGAUGCUGUUGGCU